rnacentral:rRNA from 1 species
UACGUAGGCAGCAAGCGUUGUUCGGAGUUACUGGGCGUACAGGGUGCGUCGGCGGCUUUUUAAGUUUGGUGUGAAAUCUCCCGGCUCAACUGGGAGGGUGCGCCGAAUACUGAGAGGCUAGAGUGUGGGAGAGGAAAGUGGAAUUCCUGGUGUAGCGGUGAAAUGCGUAGAUAUCAGGAAGAACACCCGUGGCGAAGGCGGCUCUCUGGGACGGUACUGACGCUGAGACGCGAAAGCGUGGGGAGCGAACAGG